rnacentral:rRNA from 1 species
UAUGUAUAGAGACCUACGCCAUUAGAUGGAUAGCUUGGCUUAGGAUGUGAUGAAGGGCGUGGCCAGCUGCGAUAAGCUCAAGGGAGGCGCAAGCAGCCUUAGAUCUUGAGAUUCCUGAAUGAGACAUCUUUUCUUUUUUAAGAAGAUUAGUAAUAAUCACCGACGCGGGGAAUUGAAAGAAAGAAAGUUCUUUUACUUCUUUCCAAGAGACAUCUUAGUACCCGCAGGAAAAGAAAUCAAUUGAGAUGCUGUUAGUAUCAGCGAGAGAAAUCAGCAUAAGGCAAACUGAAUUCUUUAUAGAAAUAUAAAGAAGAUGUGGUGUUUAGAGCUACUUUUAAUCUUAAUUUUUAAUAUCCAAAUUUAUCUGGAAAGAUAAGCCUUAGAGGAUGAUAGCUCCGUAGGAUGUUAAAAAAAGAUUUUGUAGUUUCUAGAGUAGGGCACAUUGGAUAUUGUGUCUGAAUCUGGGAGCCAUCAACUUCCAACCUUAAAUAUUAUCCUAAGACCGAUAGCGAAGAGUAUAGUGAUAAAACGCUGAAAAGUACCCAUGAUAGGGGGUUAAAAGUCCUUGAAAUCUAAUGGUUAUAGCAUGAUACUGCUCUUCGGAGUUGUAUCGUACGUUUUGAAUAACGGACCAGGGAGUUUGCCUAAGUGGCAAGAUUAAGUCUUUUGUGAUGUAAUCUUAAAGAAAUUGAAAGCUCGCAGUUUUACGAGGAGCAAGGUAUGAAAGUGCCUUAAGUCACUUGGGCCAGACCCGAAACCGGACGAUCUAGCCUUGAGCAAGGUGAAGUGGCAGAAAUGUCAUGGAGGCCUGAAGAGGUGCUGUGGACAAGCGUUCUUCUGACUUGUGGCUAGGGGUGAAAAGCCAAUCGAGUCUGGUGAUAUCUUUAAGGGUGGUUGAUCUGCCCUAAAGACACUAUAGCUGGUUCCUGCCGAAGUUGGCCGCAGUCAAGUCUUGGAGGAGAUAGUUAAGAUGGUAUAGCUACGGAUUAAGGAUUUUGGGGAAUAAAAUCUUCGGUUCUUUGUCCAACUCAAAAUGUUUUAACAUCUUAGAUUCUAGGAGACGGGGGCAGGCGGUAAGCGUCUGUUGCGAGAGGGGAACAACCCAGAGUGGAAUUAAGGUCCCAAAAUACUGGUUAAGUGUUAAAGGGUGAAAGGUGUGCAUCACCAUAGACAGCGGGGAGGUAUGCUUAGAAGCAGCAAUCCUUUAAAGAAAGCGUAAGAACCCUUUUUAAAAAAGCGUUCACGGAAAAUUUUCGUGGAAAAGGGCUCCGCUAGAUAGCUCACCUGUCAAGGUGGUGUGCCCUGAAAAUGGACGGGGCUAAACUAGUUACCGAUAUUCCAUACUAUUCUUUAUUGAAUAAGUGGUAGGUAGGCGUAUUGUUAGGGUAGAAGUUUCUUCGUGAGAAGGGAUGGACCUAAUAAUAAUGAGAAUCCUGGUAGUAGUAGGAUCUAUACAGAGUGAGAAUCUCUGGUACCGAAAGGCUAAGGGUUUCUCAGCAAUGCAAUUCAGCUGAGAGUAAGUUGAUCCUAACCCAAUCCAUAAAUUGGUAAGUGGGAAAGGGAAUCAGUUUAAUAUUACUGAACUACUUAGGUACUUAAUGGUAACAAAGAGUUAAUUCCAGACGUUUUGGGCUAGACUAACACCUAUUGUUUAUGGUGCUAACUAGAAUAAGCCAAGGGAGUAUUGUAAUAAUGAGAACUUGGUUAAAUCUAGGAAUGGUUGUCUUAUGGAUGAUUUAGUUGAUGCCUAGAGCCAGUGAAAAUGGAAUUAAUUGGAUCCUAAGUAAUCAUACCCAGAACCGGCACAGGUAGCUAAGGUGAGAAGCCUAAGGUAUGAGGGAGUAAUCUAGUUGAGGGAAUUCGGCAAAUGAGUGUAAGAUCUAUUUUUUUACAUUCAGUCGUGAUUAGUCCCGUGUCUUUGGUAUAAGGGAUCCCUGCGGUCGUGUUCUUUAUGGAUGCGAUUACAGGGUGCAAUAACUAGGAUGGCCCGACUGUUUAACAAAAACGUAACUUUCCGCAAAGCUGUAAAGCCAUGUAUGGAAAGUGAUGUCUGCCCAGUGCCUGCACUUCAAAGUCUGUUUCAACGGACCUAAGAACAGGUAAACGGCGGGAAUAACUAUAAUUCUCUUAAGGUAGCGAAAAUGGUAGUAAAUUACUAUCGCAGUGCCUUGUCGUUUGAAUGACGACCUAAGAAGAAGAACAGUGAAUGUCUCUUCUGUCGAAGCAUGAAUGGCAUAACGAGGUCAUCACUGUCCCCAACUAGAGUCCCCUGAACACACUAUUCUGGUGCAAAGGCCAGAGACCUCAAGUGGGAAGUAAAGACCCCGUGGAUGUAUAGGUAAAAUGCUUAUACAGCGGAAAACUUUACUACAACUUGUUGUUGUUGUGUGAAUUUUAGUGUGCAGUAUAGGUGGGAGUUGUUCGAUGGUUUAGACGCUAGUUUGAACCUAGACAAAAGUGAGAUACCACCCAUUGAAAUUUAUAUAACUAACUUUCUUCGGAAAGGACAUCAUCAGGCGGGUAGUUUGGCUGGGGCGGCACCCUGCUGAAAAGAUAUCAGUAGGGCCCUAAGGUCAGCUCAAGGAGUUUAGAAAUCUCCUGUAGAGUGCAAGAGCAAAAGCUGGCUUAACUGAAUUCCAAACAAUAAGGAAUGUAGGAAGGAAACUUUGGUCUAGCGAACCCUUAUGUCCUCUUUGAUGGGGGCUAAGUAUGACAGAAAACUUCUAUGUCUUCAUUAGAUAUGAAGUCUGGAGAAGCUAUCCCGGGGAUAAUUGAGUGGUCGCGCCUAAGAGUCCAAAUCGACGGCGCGGUUUGCUUCAUCGAUGUCGGCUCUGCAUAUCCUGGCUGUGCACAAGCAGCCAAGGGUGGGGGUGUUCACCCAUUAAAAUGCAUGUGAGCUGGGUUCAGAUGGACAUUGAGUCUUUACUUGAUUUCCAGAACAAUACGUUGUGAUUCUAUUUGGUUGAAUGCCAUUAGAACAAUAAAAACAGUAUGUUCAAUAUCUACUUGAGGUGUUGAGUGUCUGAGAGGAAGGAUGUAAUAGUACGAGAGGAACUUACAUUCGAGGCCACUGGUCUAUCGGUUGUCUAACAAGGCAUGCCGAGCAGCUACGCCUUAAUGAAUAAAUCCUGAAUGCAUCUAAGGAUGAAGUCAACCUCAAAAAGAGACACCUUGAAGCGCUCAUAGAAGAUGAGUUUGAUAGGACUGUGGUGUAAGUAUCGAGGUAACGAGAUAUUCAGCCAGCAGUUACUAAUAGCUUCUACUCUAUACAUA